UACGGAAGGGUGCAAGCGUUACUCGGAAUCACAUGGGCGUAAAGCGUGCGUAGGCGGUUCGUUAAGUCUGCUGUGAAAGCCCUGGGCUCAACCUGGGAACUGCAGUGGAUACUGGCGGACUAGAGUGUGAUAGAGGAUGGUGGAAUUCCCGGUGUAGCGGUGAAAUGCGUAGAGAUCGGGAGGAACACCAGUGGCGAAGGCGGCCAUCGUGGAUCAACACUGACGCUGAGGCACGGAAAGCGAUGGGGAGC
rnacentral:rRNA from 1 species